UCAUCUGUUGAAAGUGCAAGGAUGAGGUAAAGUACUGCAGCCUGCUAGCAGGAAAACGUCACCAGACCUAACAGGAUCAUAACUGGAUUGUGUCUCUGCACUUUACCUUCUGUUGUUGAGCUUUAACUUGAAUUUCUUUAGACCACACUUAAUCAUAAAGCACGCACUUGUUACUAGUUAUGGAAAACAUUAUCUGGUGGACACCGCUUAUUCAUCUGGAAUAGGUUUACAUUUAGCAUGUAUGGAAUUUACCUCUGUGCCAAUUAAAAUGUUUUUCAAGUGACGUAUGAAAAUAUAAAUUGAAUAAAAGGCAAUUGAAACUGGAAAAAAA